UACGAAGGGGGCUAACGUUGCUCGGAAUCACUGGGCGUAAAGGGUGCGUAGGCGGGUCUUUAAGUCAGGGGUGAAAUCCUGGAGCUCAACUCCAGAACUGCCUUUGAUACUGAAGAUCUUGAGUUCGGGAGAGGUGAGUGGAACUGCGAGUGUAGAGGUGAAAUUCGUAGAUAUUCGCAAGAACACCAGUGGCGAAGGCGGCUCACUGGCCCGGUACUGACGCUGAGGUGCGAAAGCGUGGGGAGCAAACAGG
rnacentral:rRNA from 1 species